UCUUUGAGGAACAUGUUAUUCUAUUACUUUGUAUAAAUAAAGGGGGGAAAGUUUGAGGUAGUGGGACUCUUCGGGACUGGACUCUCCCUCCGGAUGCAUCUUGUGUUCCCGACCGGCAGACGGGCUGCUGCUGUGCCACUCGAAGCCACGCUCAACUUUGAUGGAGCUAUAUAUAAUCCUUAGACGUAUGAAUAUGGAAUACACUUCAGAGAGACUGGAAGAGUUACUUUAAGGACGGAAGUGGCUGAAAAAUUGAAAAGUUACAAGUAGCAACAGCUAAAAUUAGUCCUAGUGGAGAAGAGAUUAUUAGCUAGGUGAAUUAAGGAUCUUAAACAGCAGGUGGCCUGUUUCCAUAAAUCAAAAUGUUCUAAUAAACCUACAGUAUAAUUCA